GAAUUUUGGACAAUGGGGGCAACCCUGAUCCAGCCAUCCCGCGUGUGCGAUGAAGGCCUUCGGGUUGUAAAGCACUUUUGGCAGGGAAGAAAAGGCUCUGGCUAAUACCUGGCGCUGCUGCCGGUACCUGCACAAUAAGCACAGGCAACCUACGUGCACGCAGCCGCGGUAAUACGUAGGGUGCAAGCGUUAAUCGGAAUUACUGGGCGUAAAGCAUGCGCAGGCGGUUUGGCAAGAAGGAUGGGAAAUCCCAGGGCUUAACCUUGGAACUGCAUUCUUAACUGCCAGGCUAGAGUAUGUCAGAGGGGGGUAGAAUUCCACGUGUAGCAGUGAAAUGCGUAGAGAUGUGGAGGAAUACCGAUGGCGAAGGCAACCCCCUGGGCCUGUACUGACGCUCAUGCACGAAAGCGUGGGGAGCAAACA
rnacentral:rRNA from 1 species